AUUGAACGCUGGCGGCAGGCCUAACACAUGCAAGUCGAACGGUAACAGGAAGCAGCUUGCUGCUUUGCUGACGAGUGGCGGACGGGUGAGUAAUGUCUGGGAAACUGCCCGAUGGAGGGGGAUAACUACUGGAAACGGUAGCUAAUACCGCAUAACGUCGCAAGACCAAAGAGGGGGACCUUCGGGCCUCUUGCCAUCGGAUGUGCCCAGAUGGGAUUAGCUAGUUGGUGAGGUAACGGCUCACCAAGGCGACGAUCCCUAGCUGGUCUGAGAGGAUGACCAGCCACACUGGAACUGAGACACGGUCCAGACUCCUACGGGAGGCAGCAGUGGGGAAUAUUGCACAAUGGGCGCAAGCCUGAUGCAGCCAUGCCGCGUGUAUGAAGAAGGCCUUCGGGUUGUAAAGUACUUUCAGCGGGGAGGAAGGUGUUGUGGUUAAUAACCGCAGCAAUUGACGUUACCCGCAGAAGAAGCACCGGCUAACUCCGUGCCAGCAGCCGCGGUAAUAC
rnacentral:rRNA from 1 species